UAGCCAUGAUGUGGGCAAGUAUUUAGAAGAUCCUUGAAUCUUUCCCAACAUUGGAAGAAUGUUUCUUCCUCUUUCUGUGAAAAAUUCAUUAUUGCCCUCCUAAGGGU